GAUGAACGCUAGCGGCAGACUUAAUACAUGCAAGUCGAACGGUAAGUAGUGUAGCAAUACAAUACCUAGAGUGACGUACGGGUGCGUAACACGAAUGCAACCUACCCAUAACAGGAGGAUAGCUCGGGGAAACCCGAAUUAACCCUCCAUGGUAUAAUUGAAUGGCAUCGUUUGAUUAUUAAAACUCCGGUGGUUAUGGA
rnacentral:rRNA from 1 species